rnacentral:rRNA from 1 species
UACGAGGGGGGCAAGCGUUGUUCGGAAUUAUUGGGCGUAAAGGGCGCGUAGGCGGUGCGGUAAGUCACCUGUGAAAACUCUGGGCUCAACUCAGAGCCUGCAGGCGAAACUGCCGUGCUUGAGUGUGGGAGAGGUGCGUGGAAUUCCCGGUGUAGCGGGGAAAUGCGUAGAUAUCGGGAGGAACAUCUGUGGCGAAAGCGGCGCACUGGACCACAACUGACGCUGAGACACGAAAGCGUGGGUAGCAAACAGG